rnacentral:rRNA from 1 species
CGACGUCGCAUGCUUCCGGGCGCAAUGGCGGCCGCGGGAAUUCGAUUAGAGUUUGAUCAUGGCUCAGAGCGAACGUUAGCGGCGGGCCUAACACAUGCAAGUCGAACGAGAAUGAGGGGGCAACUCCUCUAGUAAAGUGGCGGACGGGUGCGUAACACGUGGGUAAUCUACCUUCCGGCGGGGGACAACAGUCCGAAAGGAUUGCUAAUACCGCGUACGUCAGCGAGACCUACGGGUCUUGUUGGGAAAGAUGGCCUCUCCUUGGAAGCUGUCACCGGAAGAUGAGCCCGCGGCCCAUCAGCUAGUUGGUGAGGUAACGGCUCACCAAGGCUUAGACGGGUAGCUGGUCUGAGAGGAUGAUCAGCCACACUGGGACUGCGACACGGCCCAGACUCCUACGGGAGGCAGCAGUGGGGAAUAUUGGGCAAUGGGCGAAAGCCUGACCCAGCCACGCCGCGUGAGUGAUGAAGGCCUUCGGGUCGUAAAGCUCUGUGGGGAGGGACGAAUAAGUUGGCAGUUAACACCUGCCGGCCCUGACGGUACCUCCUUAGCAAGCACCGGCUAACCAUGUGCCAGCAGCCGCGGUAAUACGAAUCACUAGUGAAUUCGCGGCCGCCUGCAGGUCGACCAUAUGGGAGAGCUCC